AUCUGGGUUUCCUAGGAGUUCAUGAAUUUCAAAGGUGAAGCGCAGAUCAUUCAGGGCUUUGAAUACAUCUUCCCACUGCCUUCUGGCCUCCAAGGUUCCAGAUGAGAAAUCAGGUGUUGAUCUCAUUGAGGUUCAUUAUGUACCCAUUGGCAGCCAGCAGAGGGGGCUGCAGGUGUGAUGCUUGACCAGGCAAGAUUCCGGGGCUCAGGAUUCUGCCACGCACCGUGAGGAUGUACACACAGCUGGAGGUACUUAUUUGUUUUGUCUUCCCUCAUGUUCUUUCUUCCUUUCCAGGAGCUUCAUUUGUGCACAGAUUGGUCUGUCUUUCUCCAUUUCCAUCAUAUAUAAUUUUCCUGUCCCAGUUCUUGCCUUGGUCAGAUUGUAUCUCUCCUCAGUGCUUCCUUCUCUGAUCUUUUAAAGUUCCAAGUAAAAGUGCAUGUAUUUAUGUGGAGUGAAUAAUGUAUGAAUCCAUUAUUUUCAGUGCAUGAAAUUGUGCUCCCUGUAAUGUCACUCAUUAAUCUAUAUGGCAAAACCAGUGGGAGAAGGUCAAUAUGGUUAAAGAUAAUUAGCAAUUGAUUAGCAACUGAGAAGCUAAAUAAAAAGACACAUUUCCCUCUCAAUGACUCGAGUUGAUAAAAACAAGAAUUCUUGUUUGAGACAAGUCAUAGUGUUCAGGACUGUGAUGGAGAAAAAUUUUUGCGUUAACAUGGGCACACAUCAAGGCAAACAUUUAUUUGGGAAAAGAGACAGGAACCAUUCCCAAGUUUUCAUUAUAAUUAAUUUUGUUAAAGAAUAUCCAUCACCAGAAAUCUAAAAUCCUUAUAAACAUUUAGUGGCAAAAAUUAGAAAUUCUGAUAUUGCAAGACCAAUUCAACCUACUGCUUACCCUCCAAUGUAUUCAGUAUUUUAAAAGAAGCUGUUUGUCUUUCUGACCUUUUUCAGUAGACUCACAAAAAGCCUGCUCACAAAAAGCGAUUCAGGCAUGUGCAACUGAAUGAUGGUAGGACUGCUGGGGGCUGAAAGGUAGA